GACGAACGCUGGCGGCGUGCUUAACACAUGCAAGUCGAACGGAAAGGCCCUGCUUUUGCGGGGUGCUCGAGUGGCGAACGGGUGAGUAACACGUGAGUAACCUGCCCUUGACUUUGGGAUAACUUCAGGAAACUGGGGCUAAUACCGGAUAGGAGCUCCUGCUGCAUGGUGAGGGUUGGAAAGUUUCGGCGGUUGGGGAUGGACUCGCGGCUUAUCAGCUUGUUGGUGGGGUAGUGGCUUACCAAGGCUUUGACGGGUAGCCGGCCUGAGAGGGUGACCGGCCACAUUGGGACUGAGAUACGGCCCAGACUCCUACGGGAGGCAGCAGUGGGGAAUAUUGCACAAUGGGCGGAAGCCUGAUGCAGCAACGCCGCGUGCGGGAUGACGGCCUUCGGGUUGUAAACCGCUUUCGCCUGUGACGAAGCGUGAGUGACGGUAAUGGGUAAAGAAGCACCGGCUAACUACGUG
rnacentral:rRNA from 1 species